CUCACUUUCUUAUUUUCUCUGUUGUGCGCACCUUUGGGGGGAAGAUACCAAGUCUAAGCUUUGUUUUCCUUGCUGAACUUUUGUACAGAUUGUGAGCUAACUGUAUCACUCUUUCCUUCUCCUCAUGCGCUGUGAAAAGAAGCCUCAAGACUGACUGCUAACCUUCCUAUUCAGAAUCACCAUUUUUCCUUCCAUUUACCGCUCCACAAACCGUGAGCUUUCCUAAGAGAGAACUCAACAUCAAAACUUCCUUUCCCUUCCCUGUCUUACUCGACCGAGCUGCAACCAGAGGAGGCUUUGUGCGAAAUUUUCUUGAUUCGCUGUUACUCUCUUCGUUUAGAAGGGGACCUCCUUGCUGGCAGAUUGGGAAUCCAAAUUCUGCUCAUGACCUCACUGCCCCUCUUGGGUUCGGCUUAAGACCCUCACUCGUGGAGAUAAACUCGACCUCUUGGGACGUUGGAAGCAUAGGAUGGCGUUGUCAAAUUUGGGGUUGUGGGGUGUAUACGAUAAGGUGCGCAUAAUUAUUAAAGUGUGGGCUGGUUUUAGUGCCGUUGAUUAUUGCGUGGACACAAGGAGGAAGGAAGAGCAUAUGAGGACCUGAUUAUAUGAAGUUUUACUGUAAUUGUUGCUGUUUGAACUUGUUGCUGUCACUGUUUUUCCUAAUGGAUGACUGUACUAUUUUGAGAAGUUUGGAUUACUGUUGCCAGUAUAAGUUUACUGUUGUUUUGAGACUUUUAUGAUCAGUUAGU